rnacentral:snoRNA from 1 species
AUACCAUGAUGAGGACAUCUCCGGAGUAACUCCUUAAAUCUCUCUCAUGCAUCACACAAGCUCUCAUCUUCAAGUUAAUGGAAAGAUGUGAUCUCGUUCCUCAACUU